rnacentral:lncRNA from 1 species
AGUACUGGGAAAACUGGGGACUAGCAGGUGAAAGACCUGUAAGCCUCUGUAAAGACCUUGGCUUCUCUAUGAGUAAAAUAAUCUUACAUCUCCUCUUUAUAGUUAGUUGUCUACAAAGUUAGUUGAAUUCUUAGUUUCACAGUUAGCUAAGGAUUCUACUGGAACUAGCAGAAAUAUUCCUCCGUUUUUAAUGGGGUUCUGUAUCAGCAAGUCUAAGUUGAAAGCAUUAAGUCAGAAAUGCAUUUAAGACACUUAAUCUACUGCGCAUCCUAGUUUAGUUCUCUGCCACAUAUUAGCUCUUUAGUACUGUGAGGCCAUGACUGGCUGGGAACUGCCCCUGGGCUGUUGCCAGAGAACACUGUAGAACAUGUUGCCUGGGAAAGAUUAAAAGUCAGAUUUUGGAGCAUGCCUUUUGGUAUAAUGUGUGCACUUUUAGACCAUUGUGAAGUAAGAAAAGAAACUGCACAAUAGAAAGGGUUCAAACAAAGAAGCAAGAUAUAAUGCGAUUAAAAAUUGUAGUAAUUGUAUGUGUGUAUGUAUGUGUGUGUGUGUUUAUGUAUGUAUGUAUAAAACAUUUUAGAGUCCAUACCUGAUUUAAAUCCCAUACUGAGAAAUUACAGGUUAGUAAAGAAACUAGGUGAUUAAAUUAAAAUUUAAACUACGAGUACCAAGUAGACAAAGCAAUUUAGUGCUGAUUUCUGACAAAAUUACCAUUCUAAAGCUUUUUAAAGAUGAAGUUAGUGUUAUGUAAGGAUAUAGUAAGAUGUCUUUGUACAGGUUCUUAAGCUCACGGCUUCUAACUCAUAAUCCUUAGGGACUGAUGUUUUUAGUUUUAUAUUAAAUUUCUUAAGGGAGUUUACAAAUUAUAUCUGGCAUUAUUUAAAUGAUCUUUUAUGUGUUCUUACACAUUUAUAUAUACCUGUGUAAAUAUCGCUGUGGCUCAUAUACUGAACCUUUCUGUCACCUCUUAAGCUGACUGAGUCGGCAGUACUCAUUCAUAAGCUAGGAAAUCAGUACUUUGCUCCUAGUUGCUGGGAAUUAGUUUUGUUUUAAGAGGCUUCAAACAGAUGAAGUUGUAGCUGAUAUAUUCUUUCAUGUCUGACCUUUUGCUUAACAAACUUUUUUUUAAUUAAUAUUAUUCCAUAUUGUACUCACUCACUUAACGUUGGAUUGCAUUUUGUUAGUACUGUUUUAACUAGUCCCUGAAAUGCUUUUCAAAUGAGUUUCUGUUUGAAGCAGUAAAUACUUGG